CCUCUGCGCUCUCCCUUCUGUCCUCUCCCCUCUGCCUUCUCCCUCUCCCCUCUCCCCUGUCGCCUCUGCCCUGCUCCCUUCUCUGUCCUGGGCUUCUGCCCCCCUCACCGCUCUCUGCAUCCACUCCAGCUUUUCCCCCCUUCACUUUCUCCAAACAGUGAUUUUUUGAAACUAAUAUCAACAAGAUCAGGACAACUGCAAUCACUUUACCCGACUUGUCAGUUUCCUAUUUAGAAAAUUCAGACUAUGGAGUGGAAUUGGCUCCUCAUGGGACCCAUGUUACGGUGCAGGUGACUGAGGACAGCUGUUGCGAGCGCUGCUUCUUGGUUCCCCCGGAAUGGGAGGCAUCACGUGCGGCUUCCAGGAGGCCACCUCAGGGAGGAUCGUGUUUCCAUGCACAGCGAAGGAUCUGGGCAGUGUGCUGGACCUUCUCUUGCGUGGUUAGUUGUAAAACUUGAUGCUUCUGCAGGCAGAUGAUGGCAGAAAGCUCCCACCCCACCACGCUGAUGACGGCAGAAAGCUCCCGCCCCACCACGCUGAUGACGGCAGAAAGCUCCCGCCCCACCACGCUGAUGAUGGCACUCUCGUUGGGUGGUUGUGUGGUCUUCAUACAAUUUCAGGGUAAAUCGCCACUUGAUGUCAUUGCUAAAUGGGAUACCUGAGCUAUGAUGAUUUUGCCUGAUUGUUAAAGUUAGUAUUUUAAGACCAAAGAUGGACAAAAUACGUUAAAAUUGUCUGUAAAAAGGCACAUUUCUGAAUUUGCUUUUAAUACUUUAAAAGAUAUAAAGCUGUUGUAUUAUAACAGGAAGGAUUGCUACAAGAACAGAUCUGUCAGAAAACAAAACCGCAUCUUGAAUUGAAAUGGAAAAUGAAAUUUAGCUACACUUCGUA
ensembl:lncRNA LINC01865 long intergenic non-protein coding RNA 1865